rnacentral:rRNA from 1 species
GACAAACGGAUCGAAUUAAAAUUAAUAAUAGUAAAAAAGGAGGUUAAGAAUUUAUUAUACGAAAAAUAAUGCUUUUUAGGGAGGUGGAAUUUAGAUAAAAUGAAGUAAUUUAGUUUUUUUCUUUUAUUUGAGGCCUCGAAAUUUUGUUUAUGAGACCGGGAUUAGAUACCCCGUUAUUCAAAAUGUAAACUUUGAUUGUUAUUUAUAAUUUACUUGAGUAUUACGAGUAUAAAUGGGGUGUGUUCUAAAUAUAUUUCUUAAAACUCAAAAAACUUGGCGGUGCCUUAUAUCCUUCCAGGGGAACCUGUCCUUUAAUCGAUAGUCCACGAUUUAACUUUCUUUCUUUUGAAUUGUAUUAAUCAGCUUGUAUACCGUCGUCGUCGGGUUAUCUUUAAGAGUUAUGAAGUUAUCAGUAAGAAUCAGAAGAGAUUUAAAUUUCGGUAGUUAUGUAGCUGGAAGUUGAUUUAUGUAUAUUCUAGACGUCAGAUCAAGGUGCAGCUUAUAGGGGAGUAGAGAUGGGUUACAAUAAUGAUUUAUUAUACGAAUUUUUUGUUGUGAGUAGCAAAAUUGAAGGAGGACUUGGAAGUAAUUAGUUUAAAGAUAAGAGAGCUUAAAUGAAAAUAGGCUCUGAGGUGCGC